rnacentral:lncRNA from 10 species
AGGCCACUGGGCAUGCGGAAAGCCCACCCCAAGGGAACAAUCAGGGAAGAAGGAACGCAAGACGGUGGAAGCAUGCCAACCUAUUAAACCGCAAGUCAGAGAUCAAACCAUGUACUUGAAUCUCUCAAGUUCCCGGCUUAACCCUCUUCCAAGUAUCCUCAUUUGAAAAUGGAAAAAGAAAAGAAAUGGAGGCAUUGUGUGAUAUUUGCCUAAAUAUAACUAAAGAGAUCCAUUUAUUUUUAGUGUUUGAUUAAAAACCCUCAAAGGAAAAGAGAAAUUUUGAUCUUUGAGAAGAGCUGUUUCAUCACAGGUUUCUCCCUAGGUCAAGGGUGAUGUUUUGCUCAGAGAAAACUGAAGUUUGGAUUGUUCCAGUCCUGCAUCACAUCCUGUUUCAGGCUGCCCUAAAACAAAACCAGAAACAACCAUCACCACAAAACACCAUACCUUCAAUAGUCUUCUCAGUGUUCAGAAUAAAGGCUCUGGUUUUCCCUUGGGCUCAAUUUUCAUGAUUGUGUCUCCUUUGUCAAUAUGUUUUUCAUCUUCCUCACUUUCAAACUGCACUU